GAAUUGUAAGUCUUUAUGGAUAUUAUUUUGCAAAAAUGAUGGGGUUAUUUAAUGUAACACAAUUUU
rnacentral:tRNA from 1 species